rnacentral:piRNA from 1 species
UAUUCAAGUCACGACUAUGAGGGAGAAA